AUCCCCAUUGCCGACCUCCACUCCAGCACCUGAGCAAGCGCUCCUGAGGUCAUCUUCCCCAUAUUCCUCUAGUGCCGGACGCCAGGUCGUCUUCCCCAUCCCUCCCAUGGCGCCCUCACCUCUGCUCCUCCCAGCGCCCUAGCUUUGCUCAACCUUCACAGUGAGCUCGCCCUCAGCCAUGGCGGGUGCCGCCUCCACCUCCCCUUGGUGCUCGCCGAGCUCGCCCUCAGCCCUGUCGCGCCCCUGCUUCCUGUUCCCAGUGCGCCCUCUGUUCUGUUCCAACCGUUCUCCACGCCGUGUUCCCCCCCAUGGCUCUCCUUGCCUCUCCGGUCAGCACUAGCCCGAACGGUACAACAGCAUACCGGUGCCAAACCCGUGUCCGCGACGCUCGCCAAGUGCUCGAUGAAAUACCGCAGUGAGCUCCACCUCGACCUGUGCAGCCCCAACCCGCGACGUCACAACACCCUUGGUUGGCCAAACGCUUGGAACAAUGAAACUAUUACAAAUUCCUUUUUACAGACUACAACUUCUAUCGGACUAGGUGGUCAAGGCUCAGGAUUCAGAGCAGAAGAUGCACAUAAAUACUGGUGAAUGAUGCCAUCGACGAUGAUGAACUAAUGAAACGAUGGAUGAUGCCAUCGAUGAAAGAUGGAAUAGAACUCAAAUUUUGGUGGUCGCACAAGUGUGGAGACUUGAAUUCAUAUAUACUUAGUUAGGCUCAAUGUUAGCACAAACAGUUGAUGAGCAAGUUUUCCCAUUAGCAUUUUAGUUUGAAUUUAGAGUACAAUUAUGUAUGAGUUAUUUGACAAUGCUUAUUUAUGAGAUAUUGAAUGUUAUUUAUCUGUAUUGUAUUAAUUAUAGUGUUAUUAAAUAUAUGUGUUUGUAUUUUUUUCUCUUCU